UCAAGACCAGAUAGUAGAAGAGACUCCAUUUACAACACCUUUAAUCCUAAUCUGACCUUUCUACAAAUAAAGAGGGAGGGCGACGCAAAAAAACGAACGACCUCCGUACUUGCCUGUCGGCAACGCAACCCCAGACCCGCAGCAGCAACAGCACUUCCUGCUCUCUUAGCUGAGGGGAGGCUCCUAACGGAACAAAAAGGAAAACAAAGCAGUGGGAAACAACCUUCCAGUCAUGAUUUGCAUUGGGUCCUGGCUGAGAACCAAAGGGGACCCUACACAGGAACCAUUUUUGCCAUAAGGCGCAAGCACAACAACGGGGCAUCCUUCCUUGGACUAGAAAGACGGGUAAGGUCGCUGCCCCGCCCUUUAACUGCCGCUGCUUUAGGACGACAAACGCAACUGCGCCUGUGUAACGUCUUUAUCUUUUCCCAUCGCUCGCUGGGAAUUGUAGUUGAUCGUGUGACAGUUGCCUCCUUUUCAAGAUCAAGGCCUCUUGCAGAUAGUGAACUACAACUCCCAGAAGGCACCGCGCCCGUCAUUGUUCAGCCUGUGGCGCUGAGCGGAGGGAGGAUGGCGGCAGGUUUGUAAAGGGUCUGAUGGGCGUUUUUCUGCGGGGAAGCUAAAAGAAGUAGGUGAGUGGCCCGUUGUCAGGGUUGGAGGGUACUUAAGGGGCUGCAGCUUUUAGCAUUUCGCGCGACUUUUUAUGUUCCUUGGGGUUUUAUUGUGAAGUGAGCUCCACAGUAAUUGUGGAGUUACUGCAUCUCGUGACAGAUGCAGCCACUCCAUAAUUCUUUUAAUACCAGAGCCUACUUUUACCUUUGAAUCAGAUCAGGAAGCCCACUUUAACGGAUGGCUAACCCUGCAUAUUUGCAUUUUGAUCUAUUUUUCUCUUCUCAUACAUGCCUGUUGUCUCCCUAUAUGUUUGCUUUAGGUGUUUUUACUUUGAAACAGAAAAGAGUGAAAUAGUGAAAAUACUGUCACAAAGCCUGCUUACAUAGGAGAGGUAAAAGUUGGUUGUGGGUCCCAUCACAUCAGUUUAAGAUUAAAUUUUAUGUGCGUGUGCAAAAUCU
rnacentral:lncRNA from 1 species